UUUUGCCCUAUUGGCAGGGGGUCCAUUCUUAUGAUAUAUUUGUUCUUGAAUUGGCUACUAUGUGUUUCCAAGCUGCAGGAGGUUCCCAGGCUAACUUAUCAUUUACCAGGUUUUCUUCUCUCGGCCUCUUCAAUGUUUCUACAGACUCAGUUAUAACUGGUUGCGUGCAGUUUGGUACGGGUUUGGUCCGCUUAACCUCCUUCCAAUCUGUAUUGGUAUUCUUAUUAUGGACUUUUUUGGCCGGGGAUGUACUAAGCUUUGCAUGCAUUGUCUCUUUUGUGUUCUGCCGUGCGUGUUCCUGUCGUUCUCGAGGUCGCUCCGGUGUAUG
rnacentral:lncRNA from 1 species